rnacentral:ncRNA from 1 species
GGCACUCCGAAAAGCGCGGUUUUCCGCGCGCCGAAGGGGCAACCUGUCUGCUGCGGCAGGCUCAGGCAGGGAAACUCUCAGGUCAUAAAACGGAGGCAC